rnacentral:rRNA from 1 species
GCAUGUUCACAUGAUUAAAGGUAUUCCGGUAGACGAUGGGGAUGCGUUCCAUUAGAUAGUAGGCGGGGUAACGGCCCACCUAGUCUUCGAUGGAUAGGGGUUCUGAGAGGAAGGUCCCCCACAUUGGAACUGAGACACGGUCCAAACUCCUACGGGAGGCAGCAGUGAGGAAUAUUGGUCAAUGGGCGAGAGCCUGAACCAGCCAAGUAGCGUGAAGGAUGACUGCCCUAUGGGUUGUAAACUUCUUUUAUAAAGGAAUAAAGUCGGGUAUGCAUACCCGUUUGUAUGUACUUUAUGAAUAAGGAUCGGCUAACUCCGUGCCAGCAGCCGCGGUAAUACGGAGGAUCCGAGCGUUAUCCGGAUUUAUUGGGUUUAAAGGGAGCGUAGAUGGAUGUUUAAGUCAGUUGUGAAAGUUUGCGGCUCAACCGUAAAAUUGCAGUUGAUACUGGAUAUCUUGAGUGCAGUUGAGGCAGGCGGAAUUCGUGGUGUAGCGGUGAAAUGCUUAGAUAUCACGAAGAACUCCGAUUGCGAAGGCAGCCUGCUAAGCUGCAACUGACAUUGAGGCUCGAAAGUGUGGGUAUCAAACAGGAUUAGAUACCCUGGUAGUCCACACGGUAAACGAUGAAUACUCGCUGUUUGCGAUAUACAGCAAGCGGCC